GAUGGAGGCAACUCUGAUCCAGCCAUGCCGCGUGAAGGGAGACGGCCUAUGGGUUGUAAACUUCCUUUAUACAGGAAGAACCUUUCCACGUGUGGAAAGUUGACGGUACUGUAAGAAUAAGGAUCGGCUAACUCCGUGCCAGCAGCCGCGGUAAUACGGAGGAUCCAAGCGUUAUCCGGAAUUAUUGGGUUUAAAGGGUCCGCAGGCUGUUUGUUAAGUCAGAGGUGAAAUCCUACCGCUCAACGGUAGAACUGCCUUUGAUACUGGCAAACUUGAGUUAUUGUGAAGUAGUUAGAAUGUGUAGUGUAGCGGUGAAAUGCAUAGAUAUUACACAGAAUACCGAUUGCGAAAGCAGAUUACUAACAAUAUACUGACGCUGAGGGACGAAAGCGUGGGUAGCGAACAGGAUU
rnacentral:rRNA from 1 species